rnacentral:lncRNA from 1 species
AUGACACAGAUCAGGGCCAUCUCUUCCAGUGCAUCCUCCAUUAGUUCCCAUUGGUCUUGUGAUACUCAGCACCUUCUUGGACUUUGUUCAGUUAUUUUUACAAAUUUAAAUUCAUUAUUUCUUCCAGUUGUAGUAAAUGUUAAUGUUUGCAACCUCAGCUUAGGGUGUAUCUGCACCCUUACCUUCAGGUUGCACUAUAUCCCAGUACUUCUGCGCAACUGUGACUUCAUAGUGACACCAAGAGCAACCUUCACAGGUCAUAAUUACCAGCAUAACUGUUGGAAAUCCUACCACUUGGCAUUUAGACUUGGAUUUACCCCACAUCUAAUAGCCCCUUCUGGAUUGCUUCCACUUCAGACAAGCACAGACAAGACUGCCAUGAGUUUCCCCCCCUGUAUCCCAGAGGAAUAUCACAGCUGACUUUGCACCUGUAAACCCUUGUGUUGCACUGAAGGAAGGACUAUUUCCUUUACACGAGAAAGAAAAGAUGUGCCCUUAAAUGUCUCCCGGAGUGCAGCGCCUGUUAUCCCCAGCUCAGUGGAAAGGUAUCUGGUGAAAUCCUGUAGAGCUAAGCUCUGUGUCAUGGCUGGUUGGUUGAGUUAUGGCAUGGGCCUCAGCAGAACUGCAUUAGUAUAAAGGCAGCAAAUCAGCUGAGAAGCAAACCCUACUGCUGAGAGAUGCCCCAUGCUCUUCUCUAAGGAGAGAGCAGGUCAAUGUGUCAUCUAAGGUGCCACAGGAGGUUACCACAGCCUCUGAGCUUCUACGACUUUGGGGCUACUAUCAAUGAUAUGUGUGACUGGCAAUAGAUUAAAGACCUUUCAUAUAGAUAAAGAUAUAUAUCUAUACAUACAUAUAUAUACAUAUACGCACACACAUAUAUAUAAUUUAUUUAUUUAUUUUCUGUUUAGCUUUUCACCUUGAGUACUUUCAGCAUUUUCAUCCCUCCAUCACUUCUGAUGUCUACAUGGCACAACAUCUGUGUGUGGAGUUGCCUGUCAUAGGUUCUGCAGCACAAAGGUCUGAGUGUGGUGCUUUGCUUUCAUACAGGAUGCACUCAAGUGAGUCCCAAACGCUCACUGCUCUGCACAUGUGUGCACAGGGGAUGAAUGAAACCACGGUUUGGUCCCAGCUAUACUCUGUACAUGUAUAUUAGGUUAUUCAGGAUACUGGUCUCCAGGGUAUGGCUGCCAAUUCCGAGGGCUAACUGUCAGAUACUUAAUACCAGUUCACAAUACCUCACAUCGUGCCAAAAAUCAGAGAACUCCAAGCCUUCCUGCUGGUGCAUAGUUGGCUUUCUGCUUGCUCACAUGUUACACAACACAUCACUGAAACAAAGACAGAACAAACAGAUUAAUGUGUUGAAGAAUCUGGCAGCAAUACAAGUGUAGGUCAAAGUCACUUAUUUCCCGCCUUCUCCAGAAAGGAGGAGUGGAGUGUGGGAAAGAGCAAAACCAUUUU